CCUACGGGAGGCAGCAGUUAGGAAUAUUGGUCAAUGGACGAGAGUCUGAACCAGCCAAGUAGCGUGAAGGAUGACUGCCCUAUGGGUUGUAAACUUCUUUUAUAUGGGAAUAAAACGUUCCACGUGUGGGAUUUUGUAUGUACCAUAUGAAUAAGGAUCGGCUAACUCCGUGCCAGCAGCCUCGGUAAUACGGAGGAUCCGAGCGUUAUCCGGAUUUAUUGGGUUUAAAGGGAGCGUAGGUGGAUUGUUAAGUCAGUUGUGAAAGUUUGCGGCUCAACCGUAAAAUUGCAGUUGAAACUGGCAGUCUUGAGUACAGUAGAGGUGGGCGGAAUUCGUGGUGUAGCGGUGAAAUGCUUAGAUAUCACGAAGAACUCCGAUUGCGAAGGCAGUUCACUGGACUGCAACUGACACUGAGGCUCGAAAGUGUGGGUAUCAAACAGGAUUAGAUACCCUGGUAGUC
rnacentral:rRNA from 1 species